rnacentral:rRNA from 1 species
GAACGCUUGGCGGCAGGCCUAACACAUGCAAGUCGAACGAACUCUUCGGAGUUAGUGGCGGACGGGUGAGUAACACGUGGGAACGUGCCUUUAGGUUCGGAAUAACUCAGGGAAACUUGUGCUAAUACCGAAUGUGCCCUUCGGGGGAAAGAUUUAUCGCCUUUAGAGCGGCCCGCGUCUGAUUAGCUAGUUGGUGAGGUAAAGGCUCACCAAGGCUACGAUCAGUAGCUGGUCUGAGAGGAUGACCAGCCACAUUGGGACUGAGACACGGCCCAAACUCCUACGGGAGGCAGCAGUGGGGAAUCUUGCGCAAUGGGCGAAAGCCUGACGCAGCCAUGCCGCGUGGAUGAUGAAGGUCUUAGGAUUGUAAAAUCCUUUCACCGGUGAAGAUAAUGACUGUAGCCGGAGAAGAAGCCCCGGCUAACUUCGUG